rnacentral:rRNA from 1 species
UGGGGUAACCGGGGGACCUCUAGAGAUAGAGUUUGAUCCUGGCUCAGAACGAACGCUGGCGGCGUGGAUAAGGCAUGCAAGUCGAGCGCGAAAGUCUCCUUCGGGAGAUGAGUAAAGCGGCAAACGGGUGAGUAACACGUGAGUAACCUACCCUUGAGUGGGGAACAACCUCGGGAAACCGGGGCUAAUACCGCAUAAUGAUACCGAGUCACAUGGCUUGGUAUCCAAAGGGGGGGAUCCUUCGGGACCUCCCGCUUGAGGAUGGACUCGCGCCUGAUUAGCUAGUUGGCGGGGUAACGGCCCACCAAGGCUCCUAUCAGUAGCCGGUCUGAGAGGAUGGCUGGCCACACUGGGAUUGAGAUACGGCCCAGACUCCUACGGGAGGCAGCAGUCUAGAAGCUUCCGCAAUGGGCGAAAGCCUGACGGAGCGACGCCGCGUGCAGGAUGAAGGCCUUCGGGUUGUAAACUGCUUUCGACAGGGAAUAAACGCGCUCGUGCUAAUACCACGAGUGUUUGAAGGUACCUGGAGAAGAAGCCCUGGCUAACUCCGUGCCAGCAGCCGCGGUAAUACGGAGAGGGCAAGCGUUGUUCGGAUUUAUUGGGCGUAAAGCGCGCGUAGGCGGCCAAAUAAGUCGGGUGUUAAAUACCUACCGCUCACCGGAGGGAAUGCGCUCGAUACUGUUUGGCUUGAGUACGGGAGAGGAGACUGGAAUUCCGAGUGUAGCGGUGAAAUGCGUAGAUAUUCGGAGGAACAUCUGUGGCGAAAGCGAGUCUCUGGUCCGUGUCUGACGCUGAGGCGCGAAAGCGUGGGGAGCGAACGGGAUUAGAUACCCCGGUAGUGCACGCCGUAAACGUUGGAUACUAGGUGUUCGAGGAGUUCUACCCCUUGAGUGCCGCAGCUAACGCAAUAAGUAUCCCGCCUGGGGAGUACGACCGCAAGGUUGAAACUCAAAGGAAUUGACGGGGGCCCGCACAAGCGGUGGAGCAUGUGGUUUAAUUCGACGCAACGCGAAGAACCUUACCAGGGCUUGACAUGACCGCAAGGAUCUUUGCCUCUGGAGAAAUUCGGGGGCUUAGGAACACAGGUGUUGCAUGGCUGUCGUCAGCUCGUGCCGUGAGGUGUUGGGUUAAGUCCCGCAACGAGCGCAACCCCUACCAUCAGUUGCCAGCGAUAACGUCGGGGACUCUGAUGGAACUGCCCAUUUCAAGUGGGAGGAAGGUGGGGACGACGUCAUGUCAUCAUGGCCCUUAUGUCCUGGGCUACACACGUGCUACAAUGGCCGGUACAAAGGGCUGCGAUCCCGAAAGGUGGAGCUAAUCCCAAAAAACCGGUCUCAGUUCGGAUUGAGGUCUGCAACUCGACCUCAUGAAGCCGGAAUCGCUAGUAAUCGCGUAUCAGCAAUGACGUGGUGAAUACGUUCCCGGGCCUUGUACACACCGCCCGUCACAUGACCCGAGUUGGCUGCUCCCGAAGUCGCUGACCCAACCCGCAAGGGAGGGAGGCGCCGAAGGAGUGGCUGGUAAGGGGGAUGAAGUCGUAACAAGGUAACCAAUCUCG